rnacentral:rRNA from 1 species
GUCUAAGGCCAUACUACCCUGAAUAAGCCUGAUCCUGUUUGAUCUUGGAAGCUAAGCAGAGUGGGGCCUGGUUAGUACCUGGAUAGGACACCACCUAGGAAGAUCGGGUGCUGUAGGUG